UGGGGAAUAUUGGACAAUGGGGGCAACCCUGAUCCAGCAAUGCCGCGUGAGUGAUGAAGGCCUUCGGGUUGUAAAGCUCUUUUGGCAGGGACGAUGAUGACGGUACCUGCAGAAUAAGCCCCGGCUAACUUCGUGCCAGCAGCCGCGGUAAUACGAAGGGGGCGAGCGUUGUUCGGAGUUACUGGGCGUAAAGGGCGCGUAGGCGGCUUUUCAAGUCAGGCGUGAAAGCCCUGGGCUCAACCCGGGAAUUGCGUUUGGGACUGAAAGGCUUGAGAUAUGGAGAGGUAAGUGGAAUUCCCAGUGUAGAGGUGAAAUUCGUAGAGAUUGGGAAGAACACCGGUGGCGAAGGCGGCUUACUGGCCAUUAUCUGACGCUGAGGCGCGAAAGCGUGGGGAGCAAA
rnacentral:rRNA from 1 species